CAAGGUAGGCGGUGCCCAUCUAAUAUAGGAAGUAGCGUCUCGUUGGAGAAGGGAUAUGCAUUAAAUGACUCUCCUCCAUCUUCCAGGAAACAAAGGCAUCUUGAUACAAGCUUUUUUUCCUGCAACAUCUACUGUAAUAGUCAUUCCCGAACAACUCAAACCCCUUGAACUCCAAAAUUCAAGACUGACAAUUUAUGGGCUCACACCAGGUCUUAAUUUUCAUUAAUCAGAAAUUGUACCAUAGUGCGAGAACUAAUCCUUUUUGAUCUUGCAGUCAAUUGCUAGUAACAAAGAGGAAAAUGGAAGGCUUUUUUUAGUAAGACAAAUAAUCAAGGGUAUCACAGUUUGAAUUAAAGUUUUUGGGGUUUGUGGGGUUUCCCCCCCCCAAAAAAAAACCAGCUUAAUUGUGGUUUCUUCUGUUAGCAAACUACUCAAUCUAGAUUUCUUAACUUCUCCCAGAGGUGUCUUGAUGAAAUAGGAUGUUGUUCAUGCCGCUUCUCCUUGCAUGUAAAACACUGUUGUGACUAGUCUGUGCCUGGUUUCAAGGUGAAACUGAAUUUUUCCAGUGGUUAACGUGUUUCUCUUUCUCAUCCCGAUUGUGACUGCAGCACUGAAGCUUCUAUAUGCCAGCAUCUCCAGCGGUUCACACCUAGAGGUUUUAGAGCCAAGUGGUUGCAUGCUGACAUGAAUUGAUGUCUUGUCUUGAAGCAAGUAACAGCGAGUGAGGGAACAGUAAUGCAGUGUAACAGCGCUCCUGAAUUCGGUGCAAUCAAUCAGCCACAUUACCUACCUAAUACAUUAGAGUACUUUUCAAAUACUUAAAAUACUUUUAAAAUAAAAGAUUAUCUUAAAGAUAAGAUUAUGAUUAAAACACCUAACCUAAAACCUUGGACUGUUGUUUUCUUUCCAGACUUUGAGCCACACGGAGAAUGAUCUCAGCAGUAUUACUAUGCUAUAAACACCACCAUGCCUAUUAAAGGUCGCUGAAGCAGUAUGAUUGGGGGUAGCAGGGCAUGAAUUUCUGUUAACAAAGUUCUACUUUUCUAGUUCAAAUGGCCAGCUUGGAGCAGAAGCUGACAAAGCGUACCCUGAAGUAGAAAUAAUGUGCAUAAGGAAGCUGAAAGCAAAGUUUUGCUAAACAGUUCUUCAAAAUCCCUUAAAAGUUUUGACAAUAAAGUUUUUCUUGACAUUG